AUGCAGUGUCAAGUGAUAAGUCUUCAAACCACUUGAUCUGCAAUCGCUACCAAAGCAUCCAUGUCUUAGGGACAUCAAUGUUGAGGUGUGAGGAACUAUGGAUGGCAUAGCCGUAAACACCAAAAUUUUUGCGUCUAUUACAUAUUAGAGGUGCUUUGUUAGAAUAAAUCCAGUGUCUGGCUCCAAAGUAGAAAGGGAAAAGAUUGUUUAUCAGAAAUUCACCCAAAGAUUUUAAGCUUUCUAUCUUUGACAGUUGGCUGAAAGAUUGUCGACAUUAAUAA